CUGACCUCUGAGGCCAGAAGAGG
rnacentral:piRNA from 1 species